GGGGGGGGAGCACAGGCUGCAGACCCCCUGAGUCUGAUGAGAGUCUGGCGGCUCUUUUCCAGAGGAGAAGCAGCGGAGAUGGGCUCACACCUCUGAUUCACUCUUCAUCCUUCAGCUUAUUUAUUUUUUCCUCAAAGACCUGGAACGAUAUAAUAUCCAGAAGGGUGUUUUUUAGCCGCUUCUGUCCAGACGGACGGAUAGACUCCAUCUGAUCGCAGGAGGAACCAGUUUUAGUUGCAUUCCGACGCUUAGUUCUCACCUAGAGAAGAGAGGCGCGCUGCGAUCAUCAUGCACCCAAAUAAGUGCUUACCUGAACUGAUGGCCGAGAAAAACAGCCUGGACCCUUCCUUUGUUCACGCGGUUCGGCUUCUAGCAGAUGGUAAGCAAGAGAUCGGAAAGUGCGAAGGGGAUGAGCUGAAAAAAGAUAAUGACACGAAAAAAUACCUUGACAUUAUCAGCAAUAAAAACAUCAAGCUUUCUGAAAGGGUUCUUAUACCUGUCCAACAGUAUCCAAAGUUUAACUUUGUAGGGAAGCUGCUUGGACCGCGGGGGAAUUCUAUGAAAAGAUUACAAGAGGAGACAGGAGUGAAGAUGUCCAUCCUUGGCAAAGGGUCUAUGAGGGAUAAAGAGAAGGAAGAAGAGUUACGAAAAAGCGGGGAGGCAAAAUAUACCCACCUGAGUAAUGAAUUACACGUUUUAAUUGAAGUCUUCGCUCCACCGGGAGAGGCCUAUUCUCGCAUGAGUCAUGCCCUGGAGGAAAUUAAAAAAUUUCUUGUUCCAGACUACAAUGAUGAGAUUAGGCAAGAGCAGCUGAGAGAGUUAUCCCUGCUGAACGGAUCUGAUGAGUCGAGCAGAGGGAGGAGCACACAAGGGAGGACCCUAAGGACAACAACCACAGCAUCCACAAUGGGCCACAGAGGUGUAAGCAGAAGAGCAGCAGCUCCUCGAGGGACAGCUGCAUCCACACACAGCAAACUUCCCACAACAGUCCUUACAAGGGAUUUGCAGGCUUCGAGGGCCAGGGGGGCAACAGCAAACGCUGGAUACAGGCCCCCGCUGUUAGCAGUCACACAUGAAUCAUAUGAUGACUAUGGUUACGAAGAUGGAUAUGAUGAAGAAUACGAAGAUGAGAGUUACGGAGACUAUAGUGAAAACUACAUCUCUCAGUCAAAAAGUGUUUUAGAAUAUCAUAAAUAUGGACACGGAAGCAGUAAUGAAUCGUACAACAGCUAUGAAGAAGGGUGGACGAGCCCCAGACCUGUUCUCAAAGCUCCGGCCUUACGUCUGACAAGAGGAGGCUACAGAAAGCAUCCCUAUGAUAUUGAAAAACACUGUAGUGUUUUGUCUUCAGCGCAGAGAAGAACACAACAGAUAUUGAAAAACACUGUAGUGUUAUGUCUUCAGCGCAGAGAAGAACACAGCAGGGCUUACAGAAGACACCUGGCUCAAGAUGGAAGAUUUCUCUCACACAUUUUAAUCUUCUUCAAAAGGCAAGGUUCUUGGGCAUGCCUAGCCAGCAUCCUGAGGCACAAUAAAACACUGGCAGCUGUUUGUUUUGCUCCCUUGCCAAGUCUAUCACCUCUGAUAAAAAGUUAGGCAAGCAGAAGCCUGACCGACUACCUGCAGGUGAGUCUCUGACUGUUGGAAUUGCCCCUUUUGGUGGAGAGGGAAGUGAUGAAAGCUUGGCAGGCUAAUGCUUCCAGGACCCUUUCAGGAAUGAUGGAAAUAACAGAGGAGGACCAGUUUUCCAGGUGAUGGAUCCUUUAAACACUCCUUGACUUUCUAAAAGAUUUAAUAUAAUGGCAAAAUAUUUUUCUUAUAUUUGUGGAAAUACUUCUGUUGAUUUGUUAUUAAUGGCAUGUCCUCUAAAAGUCAAAUGGAAAUGAAUAUGUAUGAUUGAUAGUAAACCUCCCACAGCUUGAGCUAAUAUCAACACAUUCUCUGGUCAUGUAAUGAUGCCAUCUGCUCGUGUUGAAAAUUUCUGGAAGAGAGCUAGAUAUCCUCAGUGUGCAGCACUAAGUGCUCGCCAGUUCUGCUAAGCGACUGCAAACAAAUAAAUGAUGCCUGCCAAGUCCUGUGCUAAGUCUCUUAUUUGCUUUAGUAAUUGUGCACUUUUUGUUCAAAGCAUAACAAAAGCUUGUCUGGAAGGGUCUAGGUGAGAGCGAUAAGCUUUAUCUUACCUCUAUAUCUAUUUCAAGGACAAGUUGAUUGUCUUGGGCUAAAAGCUGCAUCUCCAUACAAAAAUGUCACCCUAGAUAUUGUAAGCUGUUUGACAGAUUAUAACCAGGGGAUUCACAAAGAGACAGCCAGUAGAUCUAGGAGAAUUACCGAGCUACAUUCUAUGCACACCCAGCCCAAACAUCAAGUGUUAUUUAUCAUAUUCAACAAAAACUAUUCACAUGCACUGUUAUAUGAUUUUUUUUGUGAAUAUUUUAAAAACAUUAUUGUAGAAGUGCUUGAAGGAAUAGACUUACCUUAUAGAAAUUUAAACAUCUGCAGGGUUGUUGAUGAGAAGAUUAUUUCUGGUGAAAAAAAUAAUGUAAUCACAGUUAAUACAGACUUUAUUGCUCAUAAUAAAUGUACAGUGCAUUUAUAUGUGUGUUCUGCAUUCAACCCAUGCCUAAGGGAGCAGUGGGUAGCAUGCAGCACCCUGGGGAGCAAGCCGCAGUCUUGGGAUUGAGCCAGAUACUAUACAGAACUAAAGAAUACUUUGUAGAGGAUCGACUGGAGACCAAGUGGACUAUAAAAUUUAUAUAAAAAGUGCUCUUUUUCAG